UACAGGGGGGGCAAGCGUUGUUCGGAAUUACUGGGCGUAAAGGGCUCGUAGGUGGCCAACUAAGUCAGACGUGAAAUCCCUCAGCUUAACUGGGGAGCUGCGUCUGAUACUGGAUGGCUUGAGUUUGGGAGAGGGAUGCGGAAUUCCAGGUGUAGCGGUGAAAUGCGUAGAUAUCUGGAGGAACACCGGUGGCGAAGGCGGCAUCCUGGACCAACACUGACACUGAGGAGCGAAAGCCAGGGGAGCAAACGGG
rnacentral:rRNA from 1 species